CCUACGGGCGGCUGCAGUGGGGAAUAUUGCACAAUGGGCGCAAGCCUGAUGCAGCCAUGCCGCGUGUGUGAAGAAGGCCUUCGGGUUGUAAAGCACUUUCAGCGGGGAGGAAGGCGGUGAGGUUAAUAACCUCAUCGAUUGACGUUACCCGCAGAAGAAGCACCGGCUAACUCCGUGCCAGCAGCCGCGGUAAUACGGAGGGUGCAAGCGUUAAUCGGAAUUACUGGGCGUAAAGCGCACGCAGGCGGUCUGUCAAGUCGGAUGUGAAAUCCCCGGGCUCAACCUAGGAACUGCAUUCGAAACUGGCAGGCUAGAGUCUUGUAGAGGGGGGUAGAAUUCCAGGUGUAGCGGUGAAAUGCGUAGAGAUCUGGAGGAAUACCGGUGGCGAAGGCGGCCCCCUGGACAAAGACUGACGCUCAGGUGCGAAAGCGUGGGGAGCAAACAGGAUUAGAUACCCCGGUAGUC
rnacentral:rRNA from 1 species